rnacentral:rRNA from 1 species
AGUGAACGCUGGCGGUAGGCCUAACACAUGCAAGUCGAACGGCAGCACAGGAGAGCUUGCUCUCUGGGUGGCGAGUGGCGGACGGGUGAGGAAUACAUCGGAAUCUACUUUUUCGUGGGGGAUAACGUAGGGAAACUUACGCUAAUACCGCAUACGACCUACGGGUGAAAGCAGGGGACCUUCGGGCCUUGCGCGAUUGAAUGAGCCGAUGUCGGAUUAGCUAGUUGGCGGGGUAAAGGCCCACCAAGGCGACGAUCCGUAGCUGGUCUGAGAGGAUGAUCAGCCACACUGGAACUGAGCCACGGUCCAGACUCCUACGGGAGGCAGCAGUGGGGAAUAUUGGACAAUGGGCGCAAGCCUGAUCCAGCCAUACCGCGUGGGUGAAGAAGGCCUUCGGGUUGUAAAGCCCUUUUGUUGGGAAAGAAAUCCAGCCGGUUAAUACCUGGUUGGGAUGACGGUACCCAAAGAAUAAGCACCGGCUAACUACGUGCCAGCCGCCGCCGUAACAC